GCGCCGAUAGUCUAGCUGGUCUAGGACUCCGGCCUUCCAAGCCGGAAACCCGGGUUCAAAUCCCGGUCGGCGAACCA
rnacentral:tRNA from 1 species